UGGGGAAUAUUGCACAAUGGGGGAAACCCUGAUGCAGCGACGCCGCGUGAGCGAUGAAGGCUUUCGAGUCGUAAAGCUCUGUCCUAUGGGAAGAUAAUGACGUUACCUACAGAAGAAGCAACGGCUAAAUACGUGCCAGCAGCCGCGGUAAUACGUAUGUUGCGAGCGUUAUCCGGAAUUAUUGGGCUUAAAGGGCAUCUAGGCGGUAAGACAAGUUGAAGGUGAAAACCUGUGGCUCAACCAUAGGCUUGCCUACAAAACUGUUGAAUUAGAGUACUGGAAAGGUGGGUGGAACUACACGAGUAGAGAUGAAAUUCGUAGAUAUGUGUAGGAAUGCCGAUGAUGAAGAUAACUCACUGGACAGAAACUGACGCUGAAGUGCGAAAGCUAGGGGAGCAAACAGG
rnacentral:rRNA from 1 species